ACAGGGAUUGCCCUAGUAACGGCGAGUGAAGCGGCAACAGCUCAAAUUUGAAAUCUGGCGUCUUUGGCGUCCGAGUUGUAAUUUGCAGAGGGCGCUUUGGCAUUGGCAGCGGUCCAAGUUCCUUGGAACAGGACGUCACAGAGGGUGAGAAUCCCGUACGUGGUCGCUAGCCUUUACCGUGUAAAGCCCCUUCGACGAGUCGAGUUGUUUGGGAAUGCAGCUCUAAAUGGGAGGUAAAUUUCUUCUAAAGCUAAAUACUGGCCAGAGACCGAUAGCGCACAAGUAGAGUGAUCGAAAGAUGAAAAGCACUUUGGAAAGAGAGUUAAAAAGCACGUGAAAUUGUUGAAAGGGAAGCGCUUGCAGCCAGACUUGCCUGUAGUUGCUCAUCCGGGUUUUUACCCGGUGCACUCUUCUAUAGGCAGGCCAGCAUCAGUUUGGGCGGUUGGAUAAAGGUCUCUGUCAUGUACCUCUCUUCGGGGAGAACUUAUAGGGGAGACGACAUGCAACCAGCCUGGACUGAGGUCCGCGCAUCUGCUAGGAUGCUGGCGUAAUGGCUGUAAGCGGCCCGUCUUGAAACACGGACCAAGGAGUCUAACAUCUAUGCGAGUGUUUGGGUGUCAAGCCCGAGCGCGUAAUGAAAGUGAACGGAGGUGGGAACCUUUCGGGGUGCACCAUCGACCGAUCCUGAUGUCUUCGGAUGGAUUUGAGUAAGAGCAUAGCUGUUGGGACCCGAAAGAUGGUGAACUAUGCUUGAAUAGGGUGAAGCCAGAGGAAACUCUGGUGGAGGCUCGCAGCGGUUCUGACGUGCAAAUCGAUCGUCAAAUUUGGGCAUAGGGGCGAAAGACUAAUCGAACUAUCUAGUAGCUGGUUCCUGCCGA
rnacentral:rRNA from 1 species